UCCUACUAACAUAGCAGUGUAACUGCUAGAUGUCCUUUUCAACAAAAAAAUUUUUUGUUUUCAGCCUAUAGGAUUUACAGUUGAGACAUCAAGACCACUGCUUCUUAAACUGUGGGUCCUGGCCCCAGAUGGGGUCCCCUUAGCUCAAUGAUGGGAUCCCAAAAAUUUCUGCAACAUAAAGGUUUUUUCUAAAUGGCACCUAGUGCAGUGUUCACAGUAAAUUUGGCAGAAGAUGCUUCAGCUGUACUUCAUUAAAAAAGGAAAAUGAGCCUGGUUAGCAGGCCUUGCAUAUGCUGAUUGGUUAUCAAUAAAUAUAUGAUUUUAUAGCUAUUUUAUAUAUGCAUAAUAUAAUAUAUCUGGGGUAACAGAAAAAAUUAUCAGGCCAAAAGGGGUCCUGAGUGGAAAAAUUUAAGAAGCUCUGAUCUAGACUGCCUCAAGUCUGCCACCAUGUUCACUGUCCUUAUUUCUCCACAGAAUGCUGUUCUUCUAAGGAUCAAUCCUUCUCUCUGCCUGCUAAUAGCUCGACUGUUCUUUCAACUGUGGCCCAAUUUAUAGCUCAUUUACUUUUUCCCACAGAGUUAAAUUGAAGUCUUUGAUAAAUUAGCCUGACAUUGCUGUCCCUACCUCUUUUAUCUCCAUAACACCACACAAUAGGUUUUGCUUCUUGGACACACUAUACAGGUUACAAGAUGAAAUGCCAUAGAAAUUUCUUAGCUUGAGACUAUUUAGUCAAAAUUUUCAUGUUAUCUGAUGGGGGCCAUUUCAUCUGUUCCAAAAUUGUACAUUUGCUAUAUCAUGAAAAACCUUUGAUUAAAAAUAUAAAUCAAUUGGUUUCAAUACUAAUUGCUUCUGGGCAGUUCAUAUACAAUUUGCAUUAAAUACCAAAGUUAGGACUAUGGUCCAUGCUACCAUAGUUCUGAAUGAUUUCUAUUUAUGAUUAUGAAAGUUGGAUGGUGGAUAAAGCUGACAGGAAAAAGAUCAGCUCAUUUUAUAUGGUACUAGCUGUGCCCGGCCACGCGUUGCUGUGGCUUAGUCUGGUGGUGUUGGUCAGUCUACAUUAGGUUGUAUUUAUGCUGUGACCUCCACCUUCUUUAUACUCACAUUAGUAGUAGUAUUUGAAGUCUGUUACCUUCUUCAAUUUUUGUGUUGAUUGAUAAUUGCUUGAGAUCCCUGUUGUCUUUGGUUUGUUGUUAGUUGUAAUGUCUGAUUCUGCUGAGUGCGGUUUAUAUUUUUAUUGUGGUACAGUAGUCUUUUUUUUUUUUGCCUGUGUAGGUGUUUAUUAUUAUUGUUGUUGUUGUGGUCAUGAAGGUUGGAUAAGUUAGAUGCUACUGUAUUGUUUUUUGGAGGCCCAGUGUAGCACUGACUGGCCUCUCAGCCUCAGUGCCUGGCUGUUUCUUGCCUGUGAUGGUGUUGAUUUUUAUUGUUGUUGUUGUUGUCAUUGUUAUUAUUGUAAUUGUUUUUUUGGAGGCCAAGUGUGAAUGUAGGGAUUGGGGAGGUGGAUGAGUUGUGUUGUCAAAUUUUGUAUUUGUUAUAGUCACAAUGCGUUGUUGUGAGUUUUGUGGGUCCGGAUUGUGGUUUUGUGGUGUGGUUGUGUUGUUACAACUGAGAGGCAAGGCUUUUGUGUAGUGUUGCCAAGUUUUGUAUUUCUGGGGCAUUUAGUUGUGUGCCAAGUUUUGUAUUUCUGGGGCGUUUAGUUGUGUUGUUAUAGUCAUGAUGCGUUGUUGUGAGUUUUGUGGGUCCAGUGUGGUUUUGGGGUGUGGUUGUGUUGUUACAACUGGGAGGCAAGGCUUUUGCAUUGUUUUGCCAAGUUUUGUAUUUCAGGGGCGUUUAGUUGUGUUGUUAUAGUCAUGAUGCGUUGUUGUGAGUUUUGUGGGUCCAGAUUGUGGUUUUGUCUCUUGGUUGUGUUCUUACAACUGGGAGGCAACGCUUUUGCGUUGUGUUGUCAAAUUUUGUAUUUUGGGGGCAUUUAGUUGUGUUAUAGUCACGAUGCGUGGUUGUGAGUUUUGUGGGUCCGAAUUGUGGUUUUGUGGUGUGGUUGUGUUGUUACAACCGAGAGGCAAGGCUUUUGCGUUGUGUUGUCAAGUUUUAUAUUUCUGGGGCAUUUAGUUGUGUGCCAAGUUUCGUAUUUCUGGGGCAUUUAGUUGUGUUGUUAUAGUCACGAUGCAUUGUUGUGAGUUUUGUGGGUCCGGAUUGUGGUUUUGUGGUGUGGUUGUGUUGUUACAACCGGGAGGCAAGGCUUUUGCAUUGUGUUGUCAAGUUUUGUAUUUCUGGGGUGUUUAGUUGUGUGCCAAGUUUCGUAUUUCUGGGGCGUUUAGUUGUGGUGUUAUAGUCACAAUGCAUUGUUGUGAGUUUUGUGGGUCCGGAUUGUGUUUUGUGGUGUGAUUGUGUUGUUACAACCGGGAGGCAAGGCUUUUGCGUUGUUUUGCCAAGUUUCGUAUUUCUAGGGCGUUUAAUUGUGUUGUUAUAGUCAUGAUGCAUUGUUGUGAAUUUUGUGGGUCUGGAUUGUGGUUUUGUGGUGUGAUUGUGUUGUUACAACCAGGAGGCAAGGCUUUUGCGUUGUUUUGUCAAAUUUUGUAUUUCUGGGGCGUUUAGUUGUGUUGUUAUAGUCACAAUGCUUUGUUGUGAGUUUUGUGCAUCCGGAUUGUGGUUUUGUGGUGUGGUUGUGUUGUUACAACCAGGAGGCAAGGCUUUUGCAUUGUGUUGUCAAGUUUUGUAUUUCUGGGGCAUUUAGUUGUGGGGCAAGUUUCGUAUUUCUGGGGCGUUUAGUUGUGUUGUUAUAGUCACGAUGCAUUGUUGUGAGUUUUGUGGGUCCGGAUUGUGUUUUGUGGUGUGAUUGUGUUGUUACAACCGGGAGGCAAGGCUUUUGCGUUGUUUUGCCAAGUUUCGUAUUUCUAGGGCGUUUAAUUGUGUUGUUAUAGUCAUGAUGCAUUGUUGUGAAUUUUGUGGGUCUGGAUUGUGGUUUUGUGGUGUGAUUUUGUUGUUACAACCAGGAGGCAAGGCUUUUGCGUUGUUUUGUCAAAUUUUGUAUUUCUGGGGCGUUUAGUUGUGUUGUUAUAGUCACAAUGCUUUGUUGUGAGUUUUGUGCAUCCGGAUUGUGGUUUUGUGGUGUGGUUGUGUUGUUACAACCAGGAGGCAAGGCUUUUGCAUUGUGUUGUCAAGUUUUGUAUUUCUGGGGCAUUUAGUUGUGGGGUAAGUUUCGUAUUUCUGGGGCGUUUAGUUGUGUUGUUAUAGUCACGAUGCAUUGUUGUGAGUUUUAUGGGUCCGGAUUGUGGUUUUGUGGUGUGGUUGUGUUGUUACAACUGGGAGGGAAGGCUUUUGCAUUGUGUGGCCAAGUUUAGUAUUUCUGGGGUGUUUAGUUGUGUUGUUAUAGUCACGAUGCAUUGUUGUGAGUUUUGUGGGUCCAGUGUGGUUUUGUGGUGUGAUUGUGUUAUUACAACCGGGAGGCAAGGCUUUUGUGUUGUGUUGGCAAGUUUUGUAUUUCUAGGGCGUUUAGUUGUGUUGUUAUAGUCAUGAUGUGUUGUUGUGAGUUUUGUGGGUCCGGAUUGUGGUUUUGUGGUGUGGUUGUGUUGUUGUAACCGGGAGGCAAGGCUUUUGCAUUGUGUUGCCAAGUUUUGUAUUUCUGGGAUGUUUAGUUUUGUUGUUAUAGUCACUGCGCCCGCAACUUUAUCCUUUUAUAUAUAUAGAUAGAUUUAAGAAUGGUUUGACAGAUGCACUGGGCUUCCAAAACGGCCAAUAUAUGUGCCCUUGGUCAAAUUAAAUUUGAACACUCUUUAGAAGCUAAAAUAACCAGACCGAAGCUAUAAUAUUUUGGACAUAUCAUGAGAUGACAAGAUGAAUUAUGCUUAGUAGAGUAGAAGGAAAAGACAAAGAUCGCAUUCUAUUUGAAUAAACUCAAUCAAGAAAACCACAACUUUGCAGGAUGUGACUUGACUGUUCAUUAGAGAGUGCUAUGGAGAUAUCUCAUUCAUAGGAGCAGUAUAAUGAUGGGCAGGAGGGAAGCAGAGGAACGUGGGGGGAAAUAUUGGGAAGAGUGGGGAAAAGCUCUUACCCUGUCCUCUCCCACCACCACUUUUCACUUUCUCUUGACCCCUCUCCCCCUGCUUACUGGAAGCUUGAGUCUGGUAAAACCCAACUCCUGAGAAGGGAGUCUUCUCUCCCUUGUAGCAUGCUGACAAGAUGGAGUUCCAUAGGCAGCCACCAGAAGUGGCCAUGCAUCAUGGGAUGGCCUUUGUGGGACUCCGUUUCACCAGUGUGAGAAAACAGAAGAAACAUGGGGAAAACAUCCAUGUAGUGAGGUCCUAAGUCAAAGCCAAUUCCAUGGCAAUAAGCAAUAACAACAAGAGUUAGCCUUACCAGUAGGAAGGGUGAGACAAAUGCCUCAGGUAGCAGGUGCUUGGAGACACCAAGAGGAAGAAGUACCUUAUGGAUCAUGGCUGGCGACCCCAAAGGUGAGGUGGCCUCUGAUCUUGACUGCCUCCAGUUUUAAUGGAGAAUGCUCUCCAAUUGUGAUGAAUGAAAUUAUAUGAUUGGGGUCUAGCUAAGGGCCUAUUCAGGUCUGGCAAGACUGAAGAUACCAUCUCAAAAUUAAAACCUGAAAACUGUGUUAUGAAGGAGGUGAAGAAUUUGAUUAACUUUGGCAUGAAAAGUACUGAUGAGGAAAGUGCUGAACUGAAAAUAACUGAUCUGGAAAUUUGUGAUGUAAACAACACAUAUUUACAUAGUCAGAGAUAAUGCCUCUUUCUGAAACAAUUACGCAUUACAUUAAGGAAGAAAAACAACAUCUUUUCCAGAACUGAUGGAGCUUCAGCAAGUCUUAGCUAAAUGAUAUGUUGUAAAAAAAAUCCGUUAACAACAACAGCAAAAACUUAUACAUAAGGAGACUCUUUUCUCUUCAAAAAGUGUGUCAGAUCUGUGAGGAACGCAGAAUCGAAACACCUUCCUUCUUCCAAGAUGGACUGAAUGAAGAAGGAUGGUAAGAUGUGUAUGAAUGAAUGUAUGUGAGUGAAUGCUGAGUAAAUGUGAUGUUUCUCCUUUGUCUGUGUAAUCAAUAUAGUUAUUAUAAAACCAGUACUGAGUCUUUGUGUCUACUUUCUUCUUUGAAAGUGCCUUAGUAAAGCAGUAGAAGAUACAAGAUUUGAGUUAUACUUUCCAAACAAAUGUGUAUAGGAUUGCUGUUUCAAUCAGUUUAUUAAUCAGAGACAUAUCAUGUGUGCCCUUCUCCAGUCCUUUGGCACCUCACCUUUCUCAAAAAAGUGGCAAGUGCUUCAGAGAAGUACAUCCAUACGUUCCUUCAGUGCUUUGAAAUGCAGUCAUCUGGCCCUGCAGAUUUUAAUUCAUUUGCAUCAACUUGGAACCUCAUCACGUCAAGGUCCUUAAGCCGGGGAACAGCGGGGGCUCCCUCAGGCAGCAUCGUAAGACGGAGCUCAAGCCCUGUGUGAUGAAGCAGAGUUCUGACUAAUUCCUUAUCAAUCUUCAUUUGCAACCCAGAUUCCUUGCCAAUAUCUCUUCUGGUGCAUGGAAGCACACAGUCCUCUUUUGAAGGGGUGAGGGGGUGCUGAAGUAAAAUAGGUAUUGAGCA